rfam:Bombyx mori DNA, contig: Bm_scaf6_contig5799, strain: p50T/Dazao, build 2, whole genome shotgun sequence.
GUACGGAGAAUUUGUAUGGAGUUGGAACGUUUGCCGCUAGGGACGCUGUUCCAACUCCAUACAAAUUUGAGUUA